UUUACUUUAGGUAAAAUGAAUGCUCUCCUCUGAAAGUGUGAAAUAGAGCAUGAAGAACUGAGCAAGCACCAGGAAGGACUUCCCAGACCUAGCAGCAGGCUCAGGAUGCAGCUAGUGUGUCCAGGCUCUGGCAUGGCCAGUCAGAAGAGAAAUUAUUCAUGGAUGUGGCAGAGGGUCUGCUGAGUACCGCGUCCAGCAAGGAAUGAAUGGGACUGAAGUGGAUGGAUACCAUCAUGGCAGUAGCAUCUUCCAGCAGAGGAUUUAUGGCAGCUAAAAUUCACCCUGGUUGGAAACCUAGUAAUCAUACCUUGCUUUGGAGGAGAAAAAUUUCUGUGGGGAAGGAAAUUGCUUUAUCGAUUCUACCUUGAAACCACAGAUACAGAGAUGAGCAUCCACAGCACCCAGAGGCCAGUGCCAGGCCCAGCUCAAGAGCAGGCAGAGUCAUCUUGGAAGACCUGGAAGAAAUAUUAAUGCUGCCCUUGAGAAUGGCUUGCUUUGUCAAGUAAAUCCUGUGGACAAGAUACUUUUUCCUCUUGGAGUGUACCAAGGGCUAUUCUCUGUGGCUGCAUAGGUACAGUCCAGCAAAUGACACAACUUUCCCCUUUAUGAACAACAACAAAAAAAUUGUUCUCUGGAGUGUUGUUGGGGAGGGAGGAUCUGUAUGUCUUCCAAGUGGCACUGGAGGAGUGGGUAGCAAUGGGCCACUUUGAUUUGGUGAGCCGGUACAGACCAUGAGCCAGUGAUAUGCAGGAAUACGACCAUGAAGGUGUCCCAAGGCUUGCAUAAGGUGCCUCUGCGGAUGGAUUAAACUUGGCAGUGCUACAAAUAACACAUUCUCUACUGGAGAGUGUGUUCACAGAGAAGGAGAGUGGAUGACAAGAUCUGUAAGGAGAAGAGAGCAGCUCUG